CCUACGGGAGGCAGCAGUGGGGAAUAUUGCACAAUGGGCGAAAGCCUGAUGCAGCAACGCCGCGUGAAGGAAGAAGGGUUUCGGCUCGUAAACUUCUAUCAACAGGGACGAAAAAAAUGACGGUACCUGAAUAAGAAGCCCCGGCUAACUACGUGCCAGCAGCCGCGGUAAUACGUAGGGGGCAAGCGUUAUCCGGAAUUACUGGGUGUAAAGGGAGAGUAGGCGGCAUGGUAAGUUAGAUGUGAAAGCCCGAGGCUUAACCUCGGGAUUGCAUUUAAAACUAUCAAGCUAGAGUACAGGAGAGGUAAGUGGAAUUCCUAGUGUAGCGGUGAAAUGCGUAGAUAUUAGGAAGAACACCAGUGGCGAAGGCGACUUACUGGACUGAAACUGACGCUGAGGCUCGAAAGCGUGGGGAGCGAACAGGAUUAGAUACCCUUGUAGUC
rnacentral:rRNA from 1 species